GAAGAACUGUAGGGACUACAGGGAUCGCCUAGGGGAUAGAAAAUGUACACCAUGUGUUGAACCAUUUAUUUCUAGGAAGUCACAUUGGGACAGUCCACUAAUUAUUAAUG
rnacentral:ncRNA from 18 species